UGCUCUGAGGCUGGACAGAGAGGAGGGUGCUUACGUCGAAGAAGCCCAGGAAAAUCCCUGCAUGUGACCAGGAAGGAGAGAGGCCAGACUCUAGAGACGAACAGCCAGGGGCCAAAAGGGUAGUCAAAUGUGGUGCACAGGGCAUGCAUCUUCAGCCAGCCUGGCAAAGGUUCAGAACGAGCUCUGUAACCUCCUGGGCAUGUGACCUGCGGUGUGUACUUAACCUUUCUGAUCCUCAGCUCCUCGCCUCUAAGCUUAUGAUAAUAAGGUUGCCUUCACAGGGCUGUCAUAAGGAUUCAACGGCAUAAUGUAUAUGAAUCAUUUAGCACAGAGCCUAAGACAAACUCAAUAAACAGUCGGUGUUAUAUCAAAAAUGUUAUUACCUGUGUUACUAUUAUUAUUAAAGUAAGCUUUGAAAGCUGGCCCUGUGAUAAAAUACAAAUAUGCCCCAAAAGAGGUCCAUGAAGUAAAGCAAUUUGGAACUGAGGUGGCAUGCAAGAUGAUACAUUUAUUUUAUGAGUGAUUUCUAUUUAUUAAUUCAUUCAUUUCACCAAUAUUUAUUUCUCAACAACAUUAUUCCAGGCACUGUUCUGGUCAUGGUUUUCUUUUUUUUUAGACAGGGUCUCACUCUGUCACCCAGACUGGAUCACAGUGGCACGAUCUCAGUUCACCACAACCUCUGCCUCCCAGGCUCGAGGGAUUCUCCUGUCUCAGCCUCCUGAGUAGCUCAGACUACAGAAGAUUCUGAUCCUGAGAAAUAUGCCUGGGAUUUUGGGGAUGACUGAUCCAUUCAAUAACAUCUAUAAAUCAGCUCCUCUAAGUCGUUCUUCUCUAGGUUCUACAGGGAACCCACAGGGAGGGUAUAAUAGUCAGAAAGACAGUCUCCUGCUGGCCUUGAUGAAAAAAGCAACCAAGAAUGAGUUCUACAGCUGUAAGGAAGUGAAUUCUGCCAACAACCACCAGAGCAUGGAAGAGAACCCUGAGGCUUGUACGAAACUGCAGCCUCUGUCAAAACUGAUUACAGCCUUACAAGACCCUGAGAAGAAAACUGAGUUCUUUCUGCAUUCCUGGCCCACAAAAACUCCAGGAUAAUAAAAUGGGCAUCAAGCCGCAAAGUUUAUGGUCAUUUAUUACACAGCAAUAGGUAACUAAUACACUUGCUCUUCUGGUUCAGAUAGACCAAUGGGAGAUGUCCACAAAUGUUCAGAGAGUCAGAGAAAAGAAAGGUGGAGAUACUUAUUUGCCCUUCCAGCUCCCCGGCUUCUGCCAAUGGCUUGCCUUCAACUGUGGCUUUCUUAGGGCUCUCGCAACUGCCCCUCUGUGUUCCUGGUUUGGCUUCCCAAUGUAGGGCCAUGAUACUUCAUGAUCUCUAGUCACUUCCUCUCAAUUCUGCCCACAUUUUUGUAUAAUGUUCCUUUGUUCAACCCCCUUCAACUGGCCCUUUAGAAUAUUCCAUCAUUUUCCUCCUGGGGCUCGGUCUAAGGAAUAGACUUAAUUUCUAGUAUAGUCUUAACCCUAUCCAACCCCACCUCCAAAUCUGAACUGCCUCUUUGUACUCCUCAAAACAACAUCCUAAAUUUUUU
rnacentral:lncRNA from 13 species